GUUAGUGCUUUAAAAGCAGUUGAAAUUCUGGAAGCAUAUGAAGGGACACUAGAAGAUGAUUUUCCUCCUGAUAAUGAACGUUGUGAACAUGGGGAAAUGCUUUUGUAUAAGAUUUCUUUGCUAGAAGAAUCGGGUUCUAUUGAGAGAGCUCUUGAUGAGUUGCACAAGAAAGAGCCAAAAAUAGUUGAUAAAUUGGCUUUUAAAGAACAAGAGGUUUCUCUUUUAGUAAAG